AUGGUCACUUCCUGUCCCCCAUAUAAAUCACUAGGACCCAUUUUCUUACCAACAGCUACCUUGCCACGAGAAGCUCUGCUGCCAAAGGAACGUCCAGCAGCUUCUGUCUUCUUAUCAGAGUUUUUCAUGCUUCCAGGAGAGAAGAGAAACCAUCUCACUCUCAUGCUAAGACUGAGAGAUGUGCUUCUAAAUGGAACUUGCAAUUUGCUGGAAACCGUUUUAAAAGUUGUGGCUACGGCGAUGAAACACAAACCGCAAGACUCAGCUAACCCACGUGGAGUUUAUUGGGAAAAGGGAACAAAGAGAGGGGUAGAGACGGAAGAUGGAACCGAGAUGGAAGAGAAAGAAGGGGUGGGAGGUGCUCGCUUAAAAGGGGAAGCUUGCACACGUGUACAGAGUUCUUACAUGGCCACGUAACACAUGACAUAGGCAUGGCAUAGCCAUGCAACAGAGGUCCUUUUGAGCUGUCUAAGUAUCUGCCUGAAUGCCGGUGUGCAUACCUGCCAGUUGUCAGGGGGCAGGGUCAGCAUAAUGUCAGGAUACCAACAUCCCCAACAACUAUGUAUUUUCUAGCCAACACCAUUUCCUUGAAUCUCUUUAACUUAAUUCUCACUGAUUCAUUGGCUCAGUCUAGUCUUGUUCCUAUACUCACUUCUCCCAGGUUACCGUGUGUGUGUGUGUGUGUGUGUGUGUGUGUGUGUGUGUGUGGGCACUCACCAGUCACCAUUGUUAUCCACAUGGCUAGGUACAGCCAGUACCCCUCAGCCUUCAUUUAGUGAAGCUUGUUGGCACCUUAUGAGGCAGGUAAGCAGGUACUCAUCUGUAGUUUGGGGAGAGUGCUGGUGAUUGAACGCAAGGCCUUGCGUGUCCUAGACAGGUGUUCUUCAGCUAACCACUUCCUUGCCCUCAUUUCUUUCUGAUACUCUCCCAAGUGUCUUCCUCAGCACUGUGCUCUGUGGAUUGCUCAGCUACCCCACUAAGCCAUUCCAACUGUUAAGCUAGUCAGCCUUCUCUCUUCACUUUCACACACUGGAUUAUUAUUCACCUCUAAGCUACUCUUUCUUAUACAUUUUCCCCGAGUAACCUCACUCUGAUUCCUGUUUAUGGGCUAAUGAUUCUCAAGUUUAUGGCUUGAGCUGAGGACUUCUCUCAACUAUUUAGAGGAAUUGUAUCAUACAAGAACUUAAUAUAUUGCUGACUUUGAAUCCUUUCCCUAAUGUAAAAGUUAAACUUUAUCUAAUGUACCCACAGUGGAAACCCCACAGACUAUAUGACAUUGUUUGGUUAGGGUUUGGGGGGUUUGUUUGUGUGUUUGUUUGUUUUGUUUUGUUGAGCUAGGGUCUCCUAAAGCUCUGACUAGACUCAAAGCUCUGAUGCUCCUGCCUCCAUCUCUCAAUCAACAUGUCAAAAAUGAGUAUCUUUGUUUUCCCUUAGGCUCAAUCCUAUUUCCCACACUCUUCCUCAACUACUCUACCCUUUCGCCAAAUUCUGGCUACCUAUAAAUCUCACUGUGAUGUUUUGUUUGAAAUUAAACCUAUACUUUCCACCAUGCCAGCCACAGUUGUCUUUAAUUUUUUCAAUACAUCCCAACUGCCAUAAUUUCAGGGAUUUUUGUCUUUCUCUGCCUAAUUCACUCAUUCUUCUACUUUUUCUUUGACUUACUUUUUUCGGUCUUACUUUGCACCUCCCUAAAGAAAUACUCUUUCUCUUUUCUACUUAAGAGGUGAUUGGUUAGUGCAACCUGAGGAGAGCCCAGCACAGUGGCUCUUCUUCUGCAGUCUGAUUGACUUCCUCCAGUUAUUCUUAGCUUAGUUCCUUAUGGAGUUUAACGUAAAUGCAAGUAUUGAUCUGGAGCUAAAAAGAGACCGCAUGUGCUAAUGAGGAAGCAUACAUUUGAGCACAAGGAACUUUGGGGAACAGGUGGACAGGAAAUUGUGAAUGUCUGUGAAGAAGGAAGCUGGGUCAGUGAUUGAGAAAGACAGAGGGGCUUGACAAUGGUAGCAGUUUGGAAGUUUGUAGAGUUUUCCAUAGUCUGCAGGGUAGAAAACUUUUCACUGAAGGAUAGAAAAAAAAAAAAAGACAAAACAUUAGUAAGACUGCAGUUGAGAGCAAUGAAUCUUUGCCCAGGGGCUCACAUCUGCAAAUAAUAGCACAUUGUUAUUGUUGUUUAAGCCAAUUUAAAUUCCAUUUUGGAGGUAGUUUUUCCUCACUCCUGAAUGAAGCAUCCUAACCUUCCCUCUUGCGGCUAUCCACGAGUCAUAGUUUUGUGCAUUGCCCUGCAGACACAUAUAAGCUACCAGUUCAUAUGCCUAAUAGCUUUUGCUCUACCCCUUGCCAGUAAUGGCUGGUUGCUUGGAGAGUGGAAACCCUUUGCUAGUUGACAGCCCUUCUGCCUGCAGUUCAGUCUCCUACAUACCCUCUGAUUUCUUGCCACAACCUUGGUGCUGACAUUCUGGGACAAGGUGACCUCUGGACUUUUCCCAGUUAGUGAUGUAAUGCUAUAAAUAUGAAAUUGGGACUGAAGAGGCAGGCAGGAGGCAAAUGUAAUCAUUAUUUCAAGCCAGUUGGAAGGUAGUGGUAGGCGAUAAAAGCAAAUUAGCUCAAAUAAUUAUCUAGACAUUAGCUUCAACAUAGAUGGGAACAUUUCUUAUUUUCCUGAGUUAGGCAAUUCAGUUUUUGAAAGAAUUUGCAUUAAAAUGUGAAAUUUGAAAGCUGCUAGCAAUGUUUGAUUUCCUGGGGAAGUAAAUUACAGAAGGCCAGUGUGAGCAUACAGCAAAGCAGAAGCCCUCCAUGCUGAGUAAAAGAUGCAUCUUUUGGGAUCCCCUCAUUGAGAGGUGAGUUCUACAUCCUUAAUCCUGGAGUAUAACUGGAUUUAAGUUGUUUGUCCGGCAGCAUAGAGAGGAAAGAAUGUUCAAGAGUUUUAGAGACAUUUCUAGCCUUCUGUCUAGCUUCUUUUGGGACACUGAGCAGGCAGAUCUCUGUGAGUUUAAGGACAGCCGGGUCUACAGAGUGUUGUGGAAUAUUUAACUAUGUAAAGACGUGUUACAUUUGUUCAUGCUGUGAAAUAAGGUGUGUUUCAUCUGUUUAUGCUGCAUAUGUUUAACAAUGUGAGGAUAUGUUGCAUUUGUUUAUACUGCUUUUGUUUCUUUAUGAAAAGAUGUGUUGCUGCUUCUCCUUGCCUGCCCAAGGCACCUGAUUGGCCUAAUAAAAAGCUGAAUGGCCAAUAACUAAGCAGAGAAGGGGUAGGAGGAGCUGACAGGCAGAGGACUGUGAGGAAAAGAAGAAUAAGAGGAAGAAGAGAGAAGAGAGAAUGAGGGGAAAAGAGAGGGAGCCACCCGGGGUCAGCCAGGCAACUGAUGCCCAGCAGAAGCAGAGUAGGACAUACAGAAAGAAAAGGUAAAAAGCCCUGAGGCAAAAUGUAGAUGCAGAGACACAGGUUAAAUGAUGAUAAUUAAUUAAAAGUCUCUUUGAGAACUAGUUAGUGGCCCUUCCCCCCCCCCAAAAAAAAAGAAAAAAAAAAGUCUGGUGAAAGCAGGCUAAAGGAAGUAGAAAGAUGCCAGUAUAGCCUGGUACAAUAGAGUGAGUAGUGAGUUCCAGGGUAGCCAGGGCCACACAGAGAAACCGUGUCUCAAAAAACAACAAAACAAAAUCUAAACCAUGCAUGCAGAAGUUCAAGGACUCCAUGGAUUAGUUUAUGACUUGGGCAGAAUGAACCUGGAAGUAGCGGUUCCUCUCUAACCAAUCUCUAAUGUUAUUGAGGAUGUCUGACUUAGCCUGCCUGAAAUUGGGUUCUCUCUCUCUCUCUCUCUCUCUCUCUCUCUCUCUCUCUGUGUGUGUGUGUGUGUGUGUGUGUGUGUGUGUGUAGACUCUAGUGAAGUAAAUGAAACUCAUAUCCUAAUAUGGAUAGGUUAACUUUGGGAAUAAAACUGUAAUUAUUGCUUCUGCUUUAAUCAUCUUGAAUAAUUAGAGAGUCUGAUGCAUCUGCUUGUAGUUUAGAUUAGAAAGCUAAGACAAGUUGAUGUUAGACAUAAUAUUUAAAUGUGAAAUAUAUAAGAAACAUGGUUAAGUUUUAAAAUUAUGCUUGAAUGUGUAAGAGAGAACCUUAAUUUAGCAUGCCUGAGUUUGUCAUUAGACAGGUAACAGUUAUACAUCUUAGAUUUUGCUACUUUGCCAGUUUUUAAAAGUGGUUCAGAUAACCAUAAUUUGUUAGUAUAGUUUAUACUGCUUGGGAUAUUUUUUUGUAAUCAAAAGUUGACUCAUGUGUUUUGAUAUGUUGAACUCACAAAUUAAUUGAACAUUUAUCAAAGAACAAAUCAAAGUGAUGUAUAUAGGAUUGUGAUAGCCUAGUAGAAUAAUGGUGAUGAAAGUUUAACUAUACCAAGUCCUGGGGGGAAAAACCUGAUGCUUGAGGAAGUGUUAAAAUCACCGAAAUGUUCAUAUCAUAACUUGAUGUACUUUUUAAUUCAGCAGUUCAGAUACUAAUACUUCCCAUCAAUUUUUAAGUAUGUUUAUCUUAAAACACCACAUCCUAUUUGUUAGCAUUACUUGUCAGGAGAUCUCUGGCAUGUUUGUUUAAAGUUUAAACUUAGUCUAUUCCUGAAAGCCAGUCUUUCAUCGUGGCAUCUGAGUGAAUGAGAAGCCGUAAGUCCUCCUCUGUGCCUCUAUAAUUGAAUUUCCUUUAACAAAAUUCUCAUGUGGGUAUUUGCUGCCUUAAAAGAAAAAUCUCCAACUACAAAUUGCCUUUAGGUUCUGGAUUCUGUGUUCUUCCCUUUAGAAAUGCUGUUUUGUUCUUGCUUUUCAGCAGACUUUUUCCCACAUGGAUUUUAAGGGGAUAAUUAGGCAAGAUACAAAUUCCAGAAGCUCUCUUCAUUUCCUCUCCUGCUUUUGACACAGCUCUCUCAUUCUGUGAUCUGUUCUCUGUGUAACCUUUGCUAUUUUUCCUUCUAGCUCUUUCCCUGGCUUGCCUAGCAGACCUGGCUUGCCUAGCAUACCUGGCUUGGCUAGCACACCUCACUGUCUAGCACACCUGGAUUGUCUUAUCCUGUUUAGUUUUGAAGUUUACUGAAUAAACUAUCAUGAUUCUAUGUGUAUCCUACAAUGUAAUACAGCUUAUGGAUAGAAAUUUGUAAAUAAAAGUAUAUUC
ensembl:lincRNA